CAUUGAUCUAUGUUCUCAUUCU
rnacentral:siRNA from 1 species